rnacentral:rRNA from 1 species
GGACCUACGGGCGCAGCAGUGGGGAAUAUUGCACAAUGGGGGAAACCCUGAUGCAGCAACGCCGCGUGAGUGAAGAAGUAUUUCGGUAUGUAAAGCUCUAUCAGCAGGGAAGAAAAUGACGGUACCUGAAGAAGAAGCCCCGGCUAACUACGUGCCAGCAGCCGCGGUAAUACGUAGGGGGCAAGCGUUAUCCGGAUUUACUGGGUGUAAAGGGGGCGCAGACGGCGAUGC